UACGUAGGGUGCGAGCGUUGUCCGGAAUCAUUGGGCGUAAAGGGCUCGUAGGCGGUCCAUCGCGUCGGGAGUGAAACGCUGGGGCUUAACCCCAGUCCUGCUUUCGAUACGGGUGGACUAGAGGUAGGCAGGGGAGAAUGGAAUUCCUGGUGUAGCGGUGAAAUGCGCAGAUAUCAGGAGGAACACCGGUGGCGAAGGCGGUUCUCUGGGCCUAAUCUGACGCUGAGGUGCGAAAGCGUGGGGAGCAAACAGG
rnacentral:rRNA from 1 species